UACGUAGGGGGGCAAGCGUUGUCCGGAAUCAUUGGGCGUAAAGAGCGUGUAGGCGGCCAGAAAAGUCCGCUGUGAAAACUCGAGGCUCAACUUCGAGCUGUCGGUGGAAACUUUCUGGCUAGAGUCCGGAAGAGGAGAAUGGAAUUCCUGGUGUAGCGGUGAAAUGCGCAGAUAUCAGGAAGAACACCAAUGGCGAAGGCAGCUCUCUGGGACGGUACUGACGCUGAGACGCGAAAGCGUGGGGAGCGAACAGG
rnacentral:rRNA from 1 species